rnacentral:rRNA from 1 species
GACGAACGCUGGCGGCGUGCUUAACACAUGCAAGUCGAACGGAAAGGCCCUGCUUUUGUGGGGUGCUCGAGUGGCGAACGGGUGAGUAACACGUGAGUAACCUGCCCUUGACUUUGGGAUAACUUCAGGAAACUGGGGCUAAUACCUGAUAGGAGCUCCUGCUGCAUGGUGGGGGUUGAAAGUUUCGGCGGUUGGGGAUGGACUCGCGGCUUAUCAGCUUGUUGGUGGGGUAGUGGCUUACCAAGGCUUUGACGGGUAGCCGGCCUGAGAGGGUGACCGGCCACAUUGGGACUGAGAUACGGCCCAGACUCCUACGGGAGGCAGCAGUGGGGAAUAUUGCACAAUGGGCGGAAGCCUGAUGCAGCAACGCCGCGUGCGGGAUGACGGCCUUCGGGUUGUAAACCGCUUUCGCCUGUGACGAAGAGUGAGUGACGGUAAUGGGUAAAGAAGCACCGGCUAACUACGUG